rnacentral:rRNA from 1 species
GACGAACGCUGGCGGCGUGCCUAAUACAUGCAAGUCGAACGCACUGACGUCGACAGGAGGCGCUUGCACUGGAAGUUGAUUGACGUGAGUGGCGGACGGGUGAGUAACACGUGAGUAACCUGCCCUUAAGCGGGGGAUAACAUUUGGAAACAGAUGCUAAUACCGCAUAAAAGGUGAGAUCACAUGGUCUUAAUUUGAAAGACGGCCUUUGGCAGUCACUUAAGGAUGGACCCGCGGCGUAUUAGCUAGUUGGUGAGAUAAUAGCCCACCAAGGCGAUGAUACGUAGCCGACCUGAGAGGGUAAUCGGCCACAUUGGGACUGAGACACGGCCCAAACUCCUACGGGAGGCAGCAGUAGGGAAUCUUCCACAAUGGACGAAAGUCUGAUGGAGCAACGCCGCGUGAGUGAAGAAGGUUUUCGGAUCGUAAAACUCUGUUGUUGGAGAAGAACAGGGACUAGAGUAACUGUUAGUCCUUUGACGGUAUCCAACCAGAAAGCCACGGCUAACUACGUGCCAGCCGCCGCGGUAA